rnacentral:rRNA from 1 species
ACCAGACUCCUACGGGAGGCAGCAGUGGGGGAUAUUGCACAAUGGGGGGAACCCUGAUGCAGCGACGCCGCGUGGGUGAAGAAGCGCCUCGGCGCGUAAAGCCCUGUCAGCAGGGAAGAAAAUGACGGUACCUGAAGAAGAAGCCCCGGCUAACUACGUGCCAGCAGCCGCGGUAAUACGUAGGGGGCAAGCGUUGUCCGGAUUUACUGGGUGUAAAUGGGGCGCAGACGGCGAUGCAAGCCAGGAGUGAAAGCCCGGGGCCCAACCCCGGGACUGCUCUUGGAACUGCGUGGCUGGAGUGCAGGAGGGGCAGGCGGAAUUCCUGGUGUAGCGGUGAAAUGCGUAGAUAUCAGGAGGAACACCGGUGGCGAAGGCGGCCUGCUGGACUGCAACUGACGUUGAGGCCCGAAAGCGUGGGGAGCAAACAGGAUUAGAUACCCUAGUAGAG